CUCCCCUUGCCUCUGCUCCCAGCUGCUUGAUCUUUUCCUCCUUUGUGUCACUGAUACUCAUCUGAUCACACGAACAGGUAAACCAAUGUCACAGAGUUGUGCAGCAUAAAAAUGGAUGGUGGUUCAUAGACAACUACAGCACAGCGUGUUUCACCUCUGCUACCCAGCAGAUAUUUUCACUCCUGUUCAAGCAGCCUCCAGGUUGACCUUUUCUUCAUGAUGAAGAAGAGCGUUGCUGAUGUUGAUGUUCUUCAGGUCCAUCCCAUUCAGUCCUGGAUGCCCAUCUGGAGUCUUUAGGCCGUGAAGAAGAGCCCUCUUGCCCGACUACUGCUAAAUCCUGGCAGGCUUAAACUGCAGCUGAAUGUCUGUCGCUGUGAAAGAGCGUGGAGUUCCUACGAGUCACCGGAUUCUCAAGCUUCUCAGAAUGACGAUUUUGAGGAACUUUGCUGACCAUUGUGUCUAUCCUUUUGCAGGGAACAAAAGGAAGGUCUUUAGAGUGAAGUGAAGUCUGCUGCUGUUAAUAGAGAACUACCUUGUCAUGAAGCUCGCCUAAAAAGUGUCUCCUAACCUUACAACAUAUCCAACAACAAUC